CACAGCCCUGGGGUGGCACGCUGGGCUAUGGGACAGCUGCCAGUGCUGUGAGCCACAAAAUGAGUUUGUGUUGUUCAGCUCUGGCUCUAAACAUCAAGGAACCUGUCCUGCCCCAAGGUGUUUGCCUUCAAUCCAGGCUUUGGUGUCCCAGAUUUGCCCCACCUGGGGUAGGUGGAGACCAUGAGGGUUUUAUCCCAUCAUCCAGCAGAGAGACAUCAGUGAGAUUUUCCCACUAGUGCCAAGGACUGAAGCCAAACCCCACAGGGUGCUGUGAAAACCUCAAGUGGAAGCUAAAGCCUUACAUGAAGCAGAGGAUGGACAAAGCAAGAAGUCUUCUGAAAUAGUCAGGGGUGGAAAAACUAUGGGAUUGUUUGUAGGGCUGAAUUUCCAGCCUCAGCCUCGUGCUUCUGAAGCUGUUUCAGGCUGGACAACCUGAGGACGUUUGUGGGGAGGCAAAGGUGUGGGAACUGACAGGACAAAGGCAGUGGGAGAAAGGAAAAACCCGACAGCUCCCUGCAGCCAAGCCAGGUAGUCCAAAGUCUCCUGGAAAUGUGAGGAGGGUUCAUAAACCAGUGGUGACAGCGAGCUGCUCACACCAACAUCGCACAGAGAUUAACCCCGGAGUUACCACAGUGCCUUCAAAAUCCCACUCCUCCCACCCCUCAACUCUUUGGAUAUGGACGGGCUGCAAGUGCAUCAGCAGAAAUGAUGGAAAGCCAGGAGCCACUGCGUGCAGGGAAAGCCAAAUGUUUGAUGUCACUU